ensembl:lncRNA
CUCUCUCUCUCUCUCUCUCUCUCUCUCUCUCUCCGUCUCGUUCGGCCUCUACAUUUAAAUUCACGCCUCCACCCCUCCCAAACGAGGCGACCGGUGGAGUCGGGUGAAUCAAUCCUCCGACACCACCCAUGAAUCAUUCACACUCCAGCCAGAAACGCUCUCCCUGUCCUGGGUCAGCCGGCCGGAGGCUGGCCCGCCUAGCUCCACUCUCUGUGGAUGGUGCAAAGGGUAGAUGGUGUAUACGGUAUGUGCGUGGUGUACAGGGUAUAUGGGUGGUGUAUAGGGUAUGUGGGUGGUGUACAGGGUAUAUGGGUGGUGUAUAGGGUAUGUGGGUGGUGUACAGGGUAUGUGGCUGGUGUAUAGGGUAGGUGGUGUUUUGGGUAUAUGGGUGGUGUAUAGGGUAUGUGGGUGGUGUACAGGGUAUGUGGCUGGUGUAUAGGGUAGGUGGUGUUUUGGGUACAUGGGUGGUGUAUAGGGUAUGUGGGUGGUGUACAGGGUAUGUGGGUGGUGUAUAGGGUAGGUGGUGUUUUGGGUAUAUGGGUGGUGUAUAGGGUAUGUGGGUGGUGUACAGGGUAUGUGGCUGGUGUAUAGGGUAUAUGGGUGGUGUAUUGGGUAAGUUGGUGGUGUAUAGGGGUGGUGUAUGUGGGUGGUGUAUAGGGUAUAUGGGUGGUGUACAGGGUAGAUGUUGUAUAGGGUAAGUCAGUGAUGUAUGUGGUGGUUUACUGGGUAUGUGGGCCAGGAUGGUGGCGUGAGAUAGAUGGUUAGCAGUUGCCUGGCGACCGCGACCCACUGCUCCGUCUUACCUCUGGGUCGAUCCGGACGCAGGAUCUCGUCUCGUCGGCGGUCUGAGCCUCUUCCUCAUCUUCCUCCUCUGCACCUGUAGACUUGAGCUGCUGUGUUUGAGCUGGAUCUCGCUGAAGGACUUACAGCUGUGUGCGUAGUGUUGUAGCUCCUGGGCGGUGAUCUCAUCGCGACCUCGCACCCUCCAAUAGCGUGCCGUCUGUUUUUCUGGCGAAAUGCAUUCUGGGUAGGGACGCAUGUCCACCGCAUAUAGGCGCGGGAAUGAUGCGCACAGGUUGGCAAAGCGUGAACUCACAGAUGAACAUAAGUACGCAUGCACGUGAGUUUGCACACACAUACACUUCAACACACGCACACAAAAAACACCAAUCCCUCACACACAGACACACAGACACACAGACACACAGACAGACAGACAGACAGACAGACAGACAGACAGACGUAGACACGUACUCAAAGACACACGCACACACAGAAACAGAUACACCUAGAAGCAGACACAGACACACACGCAGACACACGCACGCAGGCGCGCACACACACACAGACAAGAACGUACAGCCAAUGUUUUUUUAAUGUGCUUUUAAACGGCCUUCCACCUGCUGCUUCAGAGGCAGCUCUCGGGCCUCUUAUCCGCUCCGCUGUCCACCCGACAUGAAGCCCGGGCGCAGUCCCAGGGCGCGGUAUUGAUCGGAUAAGAGCAGCUGAGUGGGCUGGGAGGCUACAGUGGUCUCUGCGGAGCUCUGUAAGCGCAAUAGGAAAUGGACCCUCCACCUCUUCCUCCACAUACUCCUUUUUCUCCAUCCUUCUCCCUCCUCCACCUCUAUCAACUCCACCUCUACCACCUCCACCUCUACCUCUUCCUAUUGCUUCAGCCCUCAGCUGGACAGGGCCCUGGGGUUCAGUAGAGCGGACCGCCCCCCCCUAUAUAAAGUGUCGCUGCCCCGCCCCACGUCUGUCUCUAGAAGGGUUCACUGAGCAACGGUUAGAGGGACAAUAUUGUAUUUAAGUGUAAAAGAUCAUUAAAUGCGCAUGUGUGUCUGUUUGUGUUAUUAAUCGCGUCUAUGUGUGUGCAUGUGUGUAUGUAUUAAUGCCUGUCUGUCUGUGUGUCUAUUAAUGUGUGUGUGUGUGUGUGUGUGUGUGAAUGUCUGUGUAUGUUUGUGUGUACUAAUGCGUGUCUGUGUGAGUACUAAUGCGUGCCUGUGUGCAGGUUAAUGCGCCCUGUGUUUGUGUGUGUGGGUGUGUGUGUAUUAAUGCAUCCUGUCUGUGUAUGUAUUG